ACUGCUCAGACAUUGGUUUAAGCCAAUGAAAGUCUUUAUUAGCCUGCCUGUGACUACGCUGGAUGUUCAGGAUCCACGUGUACAACUGAGCCCUUCUCAGGGUGAGCUUUUAAGCACAAAAACCAUGUCCUGGGUUGACAUUCUUCAGUUAACAAGAGCAGUCAGCCAGAAGCGGAACUACAGAAGCCAAAAAGAAAGGAGCUGAUCACCUAGACAUGCAGGAUACUACAAAUGAUGGAGCAGUGAAGCCACCAAGACGGAUCACCCUGUGGUAGAAAGUAAGGGUUGUUUGGGGAAAUUCAAGCUGCCAAGUGUGUCUCGUAGGGGUAGAGAUGACAGCAAAAAGCAGGAGAAAGCCUUGCUGGUUUUAAG
ensembl:lncRNA